AUUGAACGCUGGCGGCAGGCCUAACACAUGCAAGUCGAACGAGUGGCGGACGGGUGAGUAAUGUCUGGGACACUGCCUGAUGGAGGGGGAUAACUACUGGAAACGGUAGCUAAUACCGCAUACCAUCGGAUGUGCCCAGAUGGGGUUAGCUGGUAGGUGGGGUAACGGCUCCCCGAGGCGACGAUCCCUAGCUGGUCUGAGAGGAUGAACAGCCACACUAGAAUGGAGACACGGUCCAGACUACAACGGGAGGAAGCAGUGGGGAAGAUUGCACAAGGGGCGCAAGCCUGAUGCAGCCAUGCCGCGUGUGGGAAGAAGGCCUGCGGGUUGGAAAGCAAUUUCAGCGGGGAGGCGUUACUCGCAGAAGAAGCACCGGCUAACUCCGUGCCAGCAGCCGCGGUAAUAC
rnacentral:rRNA from 1 species